rnacentral:tRNA from 5 species
UGGGGCGUGGCCAAGUGGUAAGGCAACGGGUUUUGGUCCCGGUAUGCGGAGGUUCGAAUCCUUCCGUCCCAG